rnacentral:rRNA from 1 species
CCUACGGGGGGCAGCAGUUAGGAAUCUUGCGCAAUGGGCGAAAGCCUGACGCAGCGACGCCGCGUGCGGGAUGAAUGCCUUCGGGUUGUAAACCGCUUUCAGCAGGGACGCGGUACCUGCAGAAGAAGCCCCGGCCAACUACGUGCCAGCAGCCGCGGUAAUACGUAGGGGGCGAGCGUUGUCCGGAUUUAUUGGGCGUAAAGAGCUCGUAGGUGGUUUGGUAAGUCGGAUGUGAAAUCUCCAGGCUCAACCUGGAGGGGUCAUUCGAGACUGCCAGACUAGAGUUCGGUAGAGGAGUACGGAAUUCCUGGUGGAGCGGUGAAAUGCGCAGAUAUCAGGAGGAACACCCGUAGCGAAGGCGGUACUCUGGGCCGUCUGACACUGAGGAGCGAAAGCGUGGGGAGCGAACAGGAUUAGAUACCCUUGUAGUC